UUUCUCAUAGUUUAAGAGUUUAAAAUAUUACAUUGAAAAUGUAAAGAUAUAUUUUUUUGAGAGAA
rnacentral:tRNA from 1 species